rnacentral:rRNA from 1 species
AUUGAACGCUGGCGGCAGGCCUAACACAUGCAAGUCGAACGAGUGGCGGACUGGUGAGUAAUGUCUGGGAAACUGCCCGAUGGAGGGGGCUAACUACUGGAAACGGUAGCUAAUACCGCAUACCCUCGGAUGUGCCCAGAUGGGAUUAGCUAGUAGGUGGGGUAAUGGCUCACCUAGGCGACGAUCCCUAGCUGGUCUGAGAGGAUGACCGGCCACAAUGGAACGGAGAAACGGUCCAGACUCGUACGGGAGGCAGCAGUGGGGAAUAUUGCACAAUGGGCGCAAGACUGAUGCAGACAUGCCGCGUGUAUGAAGAAGGCCUUCGGGUUGUAAAGUGCUUUCAGCGGGGAGGCGUUACUCGCAGAAGAAGCACCGGCUAACUCCGUGCCAGCCGCCGCGGUAAUUC